rnacentral:rRNA from 1 species
UCGAGCGCACCCUUCGGGGCGAGCGGCGGACGGGUUAGUAACGCGUGGGAAUGUACCCUUCUCUAUGGAAUAGCCUCGGGAAACUGAGAGUAAUACCAUAUACGCCCUUCGGGGGAAAGAUUUAUCGGAGAAGGAUCAGCCCGCGUAAGAUUAGAUAGUUGGUGGGGUAAUGGCCUACCAAGUCUACGAUCUUUAGCUGGUUUUAGAGGAUGAUCAGCAACACUGGGACUGAGACACGGCCCAGACUCCUACGGGAGGCAGCAGUGGGGAAUCUUAGACAAUGGGCGCAAGCCUGAUCUAGCCAUGCCGCGUGUGUGAUGAAGGCCUUAGGGUCGUAAAGCACUUUCGCCAGGGAUGAUAAUGACAGUACCUGGUAAAGAAACCCCGGCUAACUCCGUGCCAGCAGCCGCGGUAAUACGGAGGGGGUUAGCGUUGUUCGGAAUUACUGGGCGUAAAGCGCACGUAGGCGGAUCAGAAAGUUGGGGGUGAAAUCCCAGGGCUCAACCCUGGAACUGCCUCCAAAACUCCUGGUCUUGAGUUCGAGAGAGGUGAGUGGAAUUCCGAGUGUAGAGGUGAAAUUCGUAGAUAUUCGGAGGAACACCAGUGGC